ACAGGACUAUUAAACCUUAACCGUAAAUACUUCAAGCCACAAAGCUAGCCAAAAUACAUAAUAAUUAUUAACCAUAAAUAACAACUAAAAAAGCAAAUUAAAACACUAAAACAUUUUUCCUUCUAAGUAUAUGCGAUAGAAAAGAGAAUAGAGCAAUAAAAAUAGUACCGCAAGGGAACGCUGAAAAAGAAAUGAAAAAAAUUAUUAAAGCCCCAAAAAGUAAAGACCUCCCCUUGUACCUUUUGCAUCAUGAUUUAGUUAGUCAAAUAAAGCAAAGAGAACUAUAGUUUUUAACCCCGAAACUAGGCGAGCUACUCUGAGACAGUCAACAAGGACCAAUUCAUCUCUGUGGCAAAAGAGUGAAAAGAUCUCUGAGUAGUGGUGAAAAGCUUAUCGAGCCUAGUCAUAGCUGGUUGCUUAAGAAAUGAAUAGAAGUUCAGCCCUGUAAAUCACCUAAUUAUACUUAAAAUUAAAGUAAAUUACAGGAGUUAGUCAAAGGAGGUACAGCUCCUUUGAUUAGGACACAACCUUACGUUGUAUUAAGGUUUCGGCAGAAGGUUAAAGAUCAUAAUUAUAAAGGCUCUCCUCUCAGUGGGCUUAAAAGCAGCCACCUAAACAAAAAGCGUUACAACUUAGAGGAAUAUAAACCACUUAUUCCGAUUAAUCUUCCAACCCCUCUACCAAUAUUAAGCUAUUCUAUUAAAUAUAGAAGAAAUUAUGCUAAAAUGAGUAACAAGAAGUGUAGAGCUUCUCCAAAUACUAGUGUAAAUCAAAUCAAACCUUACUGAUAAUUAACGAACUCAACCAAAAAGAGUAAUGUUUAAAAAUAAAAUUAAAAAAAUAUUCAAACACCACAUCGUUACCCUUACACAAGAAUAUUAACAGGAAAGACUUAAAGGAAAAGAAGGAACUCGGCAAUCCCUAGCCUCGCCUGUUUACCAAAAACAUCGCCUCUUGAACUCCACCUAUAAGAGGUCCUGCCUGCCCUGUGACUUAGUUUAACGGCCGCGGUAUUUUAACCGUGCAAAGGUAGCGCAAUCACUUGUCUUUUAAAUAAAGACCCGUAUGAAUGGCAACACGAAGGCUUAACUGUCUCCUUUCCCUAGUCAGUGAAAUUAGUCUGCCCGUGCAGAAACGGACAUACCCGCAUAAGACGAGAAGACCCUAUGGAGCUUUAAAUAAGAUUUAACCAUAAAAAAUUACUCAAAUACUAAGAAUAACACAGUGUUAACUAAUUAACUUAUUUUCGGUUGGGGCGACCACGGAGAAAAAUAAACCCUCCACAUGGACUGAGAACUCCUCUUUAAUCAAGAAACCACACAUCUAAAAAUCAGCACAGCUGACCAAUAAUGAUCCGACUUAAAUCGAUCAAUGAACCAAGUUACCCUAGGGAUAACAGCGCAAUCUUCUUCCAGAGCCCUUAUCGACAAGAAGGUUUACGACCUCGAUGUUGGAUCAGGACAUCCUAAUGGUGUAGCCGCUAUUAAGGGUUCGUUUGUUCAACGAUUAAAGUCCUACGUGAUCUGAGUUCAGACCGGAGUAAUCCAGGUCAGUUUCUAUCUAUGAAAUGUAUUUUCCUAGUACGAAAGGACCGGAAAAUGAAGGCCUAUACUUUAAGCACGCCUUAUAAUUAACUAAUGAAAACAACUAAACUAGAUAAGAAAACAUGAUUUUCUCCCCCCUAAAUUUAAGGUGC
rnacentral:rRNA from 1 species